UAAAAAAAAAAAAAAAAAAGCUAAAAAUGCUUCUUCGGUGAAAGCAAAUGACUUAUUCAGAAACGCUUCUUCGGAGAAGCACUUUUUCUCACGGGAAUUGUCUCAAGCUUUCGGUUUCUCUUUUGUGCGACACUCUCUCAAACUCAUGCUUUCUCCCUCUCAACUCUUACACAACAACAACUACGACGCAGAUUCUCUUGGUCUCGAAUUGGUUGGAUUUGGAUUUCAGAACUGAUUCGAAUUGUUUUCGACUCAGGAUUUGAUUCGCUUUGGGGGUUCAGAUUCUGUUUGUGCUCGAAAUUUCAACUCAGAGCAGUUUGAGUUAAAGUUACAGCAAGCAUACGAUAUCAUAAAGCUGAGAAUGGAGGAAUGCUUACCGGUUGAAGCGACGAGGAAAAGAAAAUGCAGCUUUCAAUCUUGCUCACAAGUUAAAUCCUAGGUUUUUGGGGACUCCUCCACCUGGAUGGAAGCCUGGAGACAGCAUUUCACCGGAACAUGUUACUAGGAAUGAGCUCAGGGAGAUAAGGGAGGAAAUAAUUAAGUUGAAACGAGAUAUGCUGGAUCUCAAAUCAAAAAAAGAAGAGGAAGCCUUGGCUAUUGUGGUUACUUCUAGUCCUUGUUUGUCAAGUGUGAACUAUAGGGACUAUGAUUCUCAGGUUUCUAAGCAGCAGGAGAUUUAUGCUGAGCUGGUUCAUAAAAAGGCUAGAGUUGAAGAACAGCUAAAAGAAAUUACUGACUUUGAAUGACAUGGAGCAAGCUUAAGCAUGAGACGGCGUACAAUUUUAGACCCUACACUUGUCCUUAUGUCGGAUCAGAAUGCCCCGCUGCAGGUGAUAUUAACUUCCUCGUUGCACAUUUGAGGGAUGAUCAUAAGGUCGACAUGCAUACAGGAUACACAUUCAACCAUCGUUAUGUGAAGUCAAAAUCACAUUUGAGCAUUUGGAUGUGCUGCUAAGCCUUUUUUUAUGCCAGAAAGUAUAAUGUUAUUAAUGUUUGUUUUGAAAAGUCACCAUUAAUUAGAAAUUAUUAUUAUUGGUUUUAUCAUAA